GGGGCCGAGAGGUUACCGAACCUUAUCAAACUCAGAAUGCCAGAUAAUUGAUGUACAGGAGUCAGACAGUGUGAGAUAAGUUUCAUUGUCGAAAGGGAAAGAGCCCAGACCCACAGCUAAGGUCCCAAAAUAUAGUUAAGUGGAAAAGGAUGUGGGGGUGCACAGACAACCAGGAUGUUGGCUCAGAAGCAGCCAUUCAUUAAAAGAGUGCGUAAUAGCUCACUGGUCGAGUGCCCCUGCGCCGAAGAUUUAACGGGGCUAAACUAUAUACCGAAGCUUGGGAUGCAGUAAUGCAUGGUAGGAGAGCGUUGUAUGCGGGGUGAAGUCAGAGCGAAAGCGCUGGUGGACUGCAUACAAGUGAGAAUGCCGGAAUGAGUAGCGAGAAAUAUGUGAGAAUCAUAUUGGCCGAAAGUCUAAGGUUUUAGGAGGAAGGUUCGUCCGCUCCUAGUAAGCCGGGAGCUAAGGUGAGGCCGAAAGGCGUAGCCGAUGCACAUACGGUAGAAAUUCCGUAGCCACCGAAAGAUUUAAGCAAGAGGACACCCAGAAAGAGCAUAACCCGGGCGUUGGUUGACCCGGGCGUAAGGGACUGAAAUUAGAGUAGGGAAGUAUGCGUGGACUGGGGCGAGAAAAGUCUUGUGAAUAUCUAAGGUGCCCGUACCACAAACCGACACAGGUAGAUAGGAAGAGAAUUCUAAGGCCAACGGGAGAAGGGUUGUUAAGGAACUCGGCAAGUUGACCCCGUAACUUCGGGAGAAGGGGUGCUCAUGAAAGUGAGCCGCAGAGAAUAGGCCCAAGCAACUGUUUAGCAAAAACACAGGUCUGUGCUAAAUCGAAAGAUGACGUAUACGGGCUGACACCUGCCCGGUGCUGGAAGGUUAAGGGGAUGUGUGCAAGCACUGAACCGAAGCCCCAGUAAACGGCGGCCGUAACUAUAACGGUCCUAAGGUAGCGAAAUUCCUUGUCAGGUAAGUUCUGACCCGCACGAAAGGCGUAACGAUUUGGGCGCUGUCUCAGCUGUAGACUCGGUGAAGUCUUAGUACCUGUGAAGAUGCAGGUUACCCGCGACUAGACGGAAAGACCCCAUGGAGCUUUACUGUAGCUUGAUAUUGGACUUUGAUGCAAGAUGUACAGGAUAGGUAGGAGACUGAGAGACAUGCACGCCAGUGUGUGAGGAGUCAAUGUUGGGAUACUACUCUUCUUGUAUUGGAGUUCUAACCGGAUGCCAUGGAACUGGCAACGGGACAGUGUCAGGUGGGCAGUUUGACUGGGGCGGUCGCCUCCCAAAGAGUAACGGAGGCGCCCAAAGAUACCCUCAGCUUGGAUGGAAAUCAAGCGCAGAGUGCAAAGGCAUAAGGGUGUUUGACUGCGAGACCUACAAGUCGAGCAGGGACGAAAGUCGGGCUUAGUGAUCCGGUGGUUCCGCAUGGAAGGGCCAUCGCUCAACGGAUAAAAGCUACCCUGGGGAUAACAGGCUUAUCUCCCCCAAGAGUCCACAUCGACGGGGAGGUUUGGCACCUCGAUGUCGGCUCAUCGCAUCCUGGGGCUGUAGUCGGUCCCAAGGGUUGGGCUGUUCGCCCAUUAAAGCGGUACGCGAGCUGGGUUCAGAACGUCGUGAGACAGUUCGGUCCCUAUCUGUCGUGGGCGUAGGAAGUUUGAGAAGAUCUGUCCUCAGUACGAGAGGACCGGGAUGGACAUAUCAAUGGUGCACCAGUUGUCACGCCAGUGGCACAGCUGGGUAGCUAAAUAUGGAAGGGAUAAACGCUGAAGGCAUCUAAGUGUGAAACCCACUUCAAGAUGAGACUUCCCAUUACGCAAGUAAGUAAGACCCCUUAAAGACGAUAAGGUUGAUAGGUCAGGAGUGUAAGCAUGGCGACAUGUUCAGCGGACUGAUACUAAUAGGUCGAGGACUUAACCUA
rnacentral:rRNA from 1 species